GACGAACGCUGGCGGCGUGCCUAAUACAUGCAAGUCGAACGAGUGGCGGACGGGUGAGUAAUGUAUGGGGAACUGCCCGAGAGAGGGGGAUAACUACUGGAAACGGUGGCUAAUACCGCAUACUAACGGAUGAAGCCAUAUGGGCUUAGCUAGUAGGUGGGGUAAAGGCUCACCUAGGCGGCGCUCUCUGGCUGGUCUGAGGGGAUGCUCUGCCUCACCGGGACUGAGACACGGCCCAGCUUCCUCCGAGAGGCAGCAGUGGGGAAUACUGGACGAAGGGCUCAAGCCUGAUGCAGCCAUGCCGCGUGUAUGAAGAAGGCCUUAGGGUUGUAAAGUACUUUCCGCGGGGUUGCGUUACCCGCAGAAUAAGCCCCGGCUAACUCCGUGCCAGCAGCCGCGGUAAUUC
rnacentral:rRNA from 1 species